GGAGGGAGGAAGCGGGGCCAGGGGCAAGUGCAGUAAGGAGACCAGAGGGGGCUGAAAAGAAAAAAGAGAUCUGAAGUGGGUAAGGGGAGGGCACAAACUAGAAGCAGAGAUGGCUGCCAGGAAUGGGGGGCAGCAUCUAUGGGCAGGAACAGAGGCAGAGGGCCUGGGUUUGGAAUGAGCUUGUAAGCUAGGUCAGGACCAGACCAACAGCAUGAGCUGGCUAUUUAUCUGGGCAGGGUGAAGCCUAAGGCCUAAGGAUGGGGAGGGGUGCAGAUGGGUGCCCUCGGGCUGGGGCCCUACAGAGAGACCCACAGCAGCAUCUAGAGAGCCUGUGACAGGGAGUAGCUGACCUGUGCUGCCUGAGAGCCAGGAAGCUGUAGGCCAGAGUGAAUGCCUGCACUCACCGCUGGCCACAGCCUACCACACUGCACUAGGUGCAUCCUGCACCAAACUCUGCACUUUUAACAGUCAGCAAGCUCAAGAAAAGACAUAGGAAUUAAAAGCUACGAAGAAUUAAGUAGUGCUUUUAAAUAAGCAGGAAUGUCAUUAACCACAGUCUUUUUACAGGAGUAUGAACAGGUGCAAAUAUGUACCAAAUCUACAGAGUGGAAGGUGGACAGAACUCAUUGGCCCCUGCAGAAUCCUGAGAGUUGGGCAUAUUGUUCUAGAAGACUAUGAGCGCCUAGGACCCGGAAGUGAGUCUCCCUGUCUCCCAAACUGCAUCAUUUCUCCCAUUGCAACCCUCUCAUCACUAAGGGUUGCAAUGGCUGAAAGUCUUCCUAUAGCAGAGACAAGGACAGCUUCUCGGAGCGCCUGCUGCGUCUCAGGUCUUUUCUUUCAUUAAACUUUGUAUCCUAGAUCCUGGACCAUUAAUAUGUCAAAGGAGAAAAAUUAUGACCAAGAACACCUAUCUCAAGCUUCAGCUGACAUCAAAAUUGGUUGGUGAAACAUCAGAAGGAGUCUCAUUAAAAUCAAGAAGAAAACAAGAAUGGCCCUCACUACAGUUCUACACAUUCUACUCAAUGCAAGAAGUGAAGAAUUGGAAAUAAAUGGCAAAGCUACUGAAAAUAAGAAAAAUCUAUCAAUAUUUUCAGAUUUCUAUCCCCUCAAAAAUACAACACAAUCAACUAGGCCAUUAGAAAUAAUCGGCUUAGUAAAGUUGCUCAAAUUAGAUUAACAUAUAAAAUAUUUUCUUAUUCAACCUUAAACAAGAAAUUCUGUCAUUUUCAUUGACACAGAUGGAUCUGGAGGACGUUAUGCUAAGAACUCAGCCAGACACAGUAAGACAAAUACUGUGUGUGAUCUCACUUAUAUAUGGACUUUAAAGAAGUCAAUCUCAGAGAAACAGGAAGCAGAAAGGGAGGGAAUGGAGGAAGGAGAGGUGGGGAAGUUAGAUUGGAGGAGUAAGUUUCAAAGAUCUACUGCACUGCAUAGUGACCACAGUUAAUAAUAAAGUAUAUUUCAAAACUGCUAAAAGGAUAGAUUUUUAACGUUCUCACAAGGGAAAAAGAAUAAAAAAGAGAAUGAUGAGAUGAUGGAUAUGCUAAUUCACUUGACUGAAUCUUUCUAUAAGGUACACAUGGAUUAAAACAUCACAUAAAUGUA